rnacentral:rRNA from 1 species
UUACACAUGCAGUCGAACGGUAGAGUAGCAAUACUCGAGAGUGGCGAACGGGUGAGUAAUAUAUCGGAACGUGCCCAGUCGUGGGGGAUAACGUAGAGAAAUUUACGCUAAUACCGCAUACGAUCUAAGGAUGAAAGCGGGGGAUCGCAAGACCUCGCGCGAUUGGAGCGGCUGAUAUCGGAUUAGGUUGUUGGUGAGGUAAAAGCUCACCAAGCCGACGAUCUGUAGCUGGUUUGAGAGAACGACCAGCCACACUGGGACUGAGACACGGCCCAGACUCCUACGGGAGGCAGCAGUGGGGAAUUUUGGACAAUGGGCGAAAGCCUGAUCCAGCAAUGCCGCGUGCAGGAAGAAGGCCUUCGGGUUGUAAACUGCUUUUGUACGGAACGAAACGGUCUGCUUUAAUACAGUGGGCUAAUGACGGUACCGUAAGAAUAAGCACCGGCUAACUACGUGCCAGCAGCCGCGGUAAUACGUAGGGUGCGAGCGUUAAUCGGAAUUACUGGGCGUAAAGCGUGCGCAGGCGGUUAUAUAAGACAGUUGUGAAAUCCCCGGGCUCAACCUGGGAAUUGCAUCUGUGACUGUAUAGCUAGAGUACGGUAGAGGGGGAUGGAAUUCCGCGUGUAGCAGUGAAAUGCGUAGAUAUGCGGAGGAACACCGAUGGCGAAGGCAAUCCCCUGGACCUGUACUGACGCUCAUGCACGAAAGCGUGGGGAGCAAACAGG